UACGGAGGGUGCAAGCGUUAUCCGGAUUCACUGGGUUUAAAGGGUGUGUAGGCGGGUAUUUAAGUCAGUGGUGAAAUCUCUGAGCUCAACUCAGAAACUGCCAUUGAUACUAUUUAUCUUGAAUAUCGUUGAGGUUGGCGGAAUAUAUCAUGUAGCGGUGAAAUGCAUAGAUAUGAUAUAGAACACCGAUUGCGAAGGCAGCUAACUAAGCGAUGAUUGACGCUGAGGCACGAAAGCGUGGGGAU
rnacentral:rRNA from 1 species